rnacentral:lncRNA from 1 species
AUCAGAACAGGAUAACCAGAAGGCCACAGGUUUCCUUGCCUGGAUUUUACAGCAGUAUUGUGAAGUUUCUGUUGAUAUUUUAGGAAAUGGUCAUCUCCAUCUGCCGAGGGAUAGGUGUGCAAAUCAAUGAAAAUUCAAAGAAGUACCCAUGAGGAAAAUUACAGACUUACCAUGAUUUACUCCAUUGGCAUAUGCUCUGAAUGGAACUGGUUA